rnacentral:rRNA from 1 species
AACGAACGCUGGCGGCAUGCCUAACACAUGCAAGUCGAACGAUUCUUUCGUGCAUAGUGGCGCACGUGUGCGUAACGCGUGGGAAUCUGCCCUGGGGUUCGGGAUAACAUCGGGAAACUGCUGCUAAUACCGGAUGAUAUCGCGAGAUCAAAGAUUUAUCGCCCUAGGAUGAGCCCGCUUCGGAUUAGGUAGUUGGUGGGGUAAGAGCCUCCCAAGCCGACGAUCCGUAGCUGGUCUGAGAGGAUGAUCAGCCACACUGGGACUGGGACACGGCCCAGAAUCUUACGGGAGGCAGGAGUGGGGAAUAUUGGAACAUGGGCGCAAGCCUGAUCCAGCAAUGACGCGUGAGUGAUGAAGGCAUUAGGGUUGUAAAGCUCUUUUACCCGGGAUGAUAAUGACAGUACCGGGCGAAUAAGCCCCGGCUAACUCCGUG